rnacentral:rRNA from 1 species
AUUGAACGCUGGCGGCAGGCCUAACACAUGCAAGUCGAGCGGCAGCGGGAAAGUAGCUUGCUACUUUUGCCGGCGAGCGGCGGACGGGUGAGUAAUGCCUGGGGAUCUGCUCAGUCGAGGGGGAUAACUACUGGAAACGGUAGCUAAUACCGCAUACGCCCUACGGGGGAAAGGAGGGGACCUUCGGGCCUUGCGCGAUUGGAUGAACCCGGGUGGGAUUAGCUAGUUGGUGGGGUAAGGGCUCACCAAGGAGACGAUCCGUAGCUGGUCUGAGAGGAUGAACAGCCACACUGGAACUGAGACACGGUCCAGACUCCUACGGGAGGCAGCAGUGGGGAAUAUUGGACAAUGGGGGAAACCCUGAUGCAGCCAUGCCGCGUGUGUGAAGAAGGCCUUCGGGUUGUAAAGCACUUUCAGCGAGGAGGAAAGGUUGGUAGCUAAUAACUGCCAGCUGUGACGUUACUCGCAGAAGAAGCACCGGCUAACUCCGUGCCAGCCGCCGCCGUAA